AGGCGGAGACUGGCGCGCGCAGGAGACGAGGGAGAGAGAGAGGGGGGAAGGCGACGGUUGACAAGAGGUACAAACAGUGGAAGUCGCUCGUCCCCGUCCUCUAUGAUUAUUGGUUCGCCAACCACAACCUCGCCUGGCCUUCCCUCUCUUGCAGGGUUUUGCAUCGUACAUCUUAGGGUUUAUGCUUCCUUCUUUACUCGACCGUGUCGUGAACGUGGACCCGUGCUAGCUUCGCACUAAGAUGACGUUAGACAGCAAACAUCACGGGAAUACACAUGGGAAUGAGAAGAUCUAUUGUGUGGGGGCCUCAACAUGAGCAAGCAACAUACAAGAAUCGGCAGCGGCUAUACCUCUCUGAGCAGAGACUGGAAUCUGGAAAUGGUUAAGUGUGUAAGGAAUCAGCUGCGACAUUGCAGACUGAUUUCUCUGUGCCAAAUACUCUUGUUAUAGCAAAUUGUGAAGUCGUCAAGCCAAGAGUUGCAGCGGCAGAGCAUAUAUCCCAGUUCAAUGAAGAAGCUCGUUCACCAUUUGUGAAGAAAUACAAAACAAUCAUACAUCCGGGGGAGGUCAACAGAAUCAGGGAGCUUCCUCAGAAUAGCUAAAGAGUUGCAACACAUACUGACAGCCCUGAUGUUUUAAUUUGGGAUGUUGAGGCACAACCUAAUCGUCAUCCUAUGUUAGGAGCUACUGAAUCCCUUCCAAAUUUGGUAAGGAUAAAUCUGUUGUCUUGUGGAGCAUACAUGAUCAUAUCUCUUCUCUAUCAGAGUCAUUGUCAAAGUUGCCUGUCUCAUCAACUCCAAAUUCAAGUGGUAAGCAGCCCACUAAAGCUGGUAAUGUGAAAAGCUCAGGCAGCCCAACUGUUGGACCAAGAGGUGUGUACCAAGGACAUGAAGAUACUGUUGAAGAUGUGCAGUUCUGUCCAUCCAGUGCACAGGAAUUUUGUAGUGUAGGUGAUGAUCCUUGCCAUAUUCUUUGGGAUGCCCGAGUUGGUAGCAGUCUGGUUGUCAAGGUCUAGAAAGCUCAUAAUGCUGACCUUCACUGUGUGGAUUGGAACCCCCAUGACCAGAAUCUUAUUUUGACUGGUGGUCUCCUGACAGAGCAUCAGUUUUUGGAAGUGCUGCUGAGGAUGGCUUCCUCAAUAUAUGGGAUCAUGAGAAGGGAUAAAGUUGUAGAUUCACUGGAAUGCACCGGUGGUGUUUCUGAUGACUGGAAGCACCGGUGGAGGUGGUACCUUGCAGAUAUACAGACCCGAAGACGAGGUUCUGGCGGAGCUGGAGAAGUUCAAAGCCCACAUAUUGUCAUGCUCACCAAAGUCGUAAUAUUUCAGAUAUCGUUUGAGUUCUAAGAGCGCUGUUUAUGUGGUAGUCUCGGCAGGAUAUCCUAAAGCCUUAUCGGGGAUCUGAGUUAUACGUUGACUGCGUUUUUCGUCCAAUUAAAGCUUAUCAGUUUUUUAAAGGUCGUCCAUUGGACAAUGCGUCAAAUUAAAGGUCAAUCGCUUGGUACAUUGCAUAAGUUAUCAGUUUUUUUUUUUUUUAAUGAUCAUCAAUAUUAACCUUUUUUUCUUAUUUUUCUCAUCUUUGGAGAUCAAAUGAAGGGGAGACACAAGACGGGCUUGUAAUAUAGAACAAGAAGCACAAUGACAUGAAUUGUA